rnacentral:rRNA from 1 species
CUCUUACCCAUGUCUUUUGAGUACCUUCGUUUCCUCGGCGGGUCCGCCCGCCGAUUGGACAAUUUAAACCAUUUGCAGUUGCAAUCAGCGUCUGAAAAAACUUAAUAGUUACAACUUUCAACAACGGAUCUCUUGGUUCUGGCAUCGAUGAAGAACGCAGCGAAAUGCGAUAAGUAGUGUGAAUUGCAGAAUUCAGUGAAUCAUCGAAUCUUUGAACGCACAUUGCGCCCCUUGGUAUUCCAUGGGGCAUGCCUGUUCGAGCGUCAUUUGUACCUUCAAGCUCUGCUUGGUGUUGGGUGUUUGUCUCGCCUCUGCGCGCAGACUCGCCUCAAAACAAUUGGCAGCCGGCGUAUUGAUUUCGGAGCGCAGUACAUCUCGCGCUUUGCACUCAUAACGACGACGUCCAAA